GUCUUAAAACCUGUGUGUUAAUAGUCUUUCCUUUGGCCUGAAAAGACGGUUAGUGAAUC
rnacentral:ncRNA from 1 species